GCAUUAUUAUAUUAUAGUUGACAGUGAUAGUGCGAAAUGUCAUUAUUGCUCUAAUUCGUAUUUGUUUAAAGGGGGAUCCACUGCUAAACUAAACAGGCAUUUAAAAAGAAAGCACACUAUUCAAUAUGAGUAUGCAUCUCACAAAUGACAGCCAAUAUUAAUUAAUCAACAACGUUGAUAACCCUAUAUGUCAAAUCUGUAGUUCAUCUGAAAAUAUAAGUACUAAACAAUCACCUUCAGUUGUAAAAACAUUUGCACAACCUAAACAAACACAUAUUAAAUCAUAUAUUAUUAAGCUAGUUUCCGUUUUAAAAUCUAAAAAAAUUGAUGAUCAAUUAGCUAUCA